UCUGGUUAUCAUGAAGUGUUUGAAUCAGAUGUUGUGUUUUCUCCUGCUGGUUUCUGUUCCGUAGGUUUCCUCUCCACGACGCCGCCCUGCUGGCUCGCUGGAUGAAGGCCGUCGGACGUUCUAACUGGAUUCCUCGGCUGCGGUCGUCCGUCUGUUCGACUCAUUUCACUGAGGACUGCUUGGACCGGCGUGGGGAGAAGGUGGUCCUCCGUCCAGACGCUGUUCCUACCCUCAUGGUCCACGGAGACUCGACAGCAUCCAGAGGUCCAAACCAGCCUGCAGGACAGGAGGAGCGAGAUCAGACCUUUUUUGCCAAAUACGACGCCGUGGAGCUUUACCUGAGCAGACGCACCUAUCCGCCCGGACUGAGCUACGUGGAGAAGAACACCUUCAGGAGGUUCUGCAAGAAAUUCACCAUUAAAGACGACAAGCUUCACUCCACCAGAGGAGAUCGACUGCGUUUGGUUCUGAGGAGUCGGCAGCAGGUUGAAGCCGCUCUGACCGAUUACCACAACGAGCUCAAUCACCUGGACGUCAACAAAUGUCUGCGGCUGCUCAACGAGAGGUAUUUCUGGACAACCAUGAAGCCUGAUGUGAUCCAGUGGAUCGACAGCUGUUUCCAGUGCAGCAGGAAGAAGAAUCUGGAGACGCUCAGAUCUCCACCAAUCAGCAGGUUCUCUGUACAUGCUGACAGCGACAAAGACAAUCAGAGCGACGAUGCUGAUGAAGGAGACGUGGAAGAGCCGGAGAACUCAGACCCAGAGAAUGAUGAACAGAUGAACUUAUCGUCUCUCUCCAAGGACGGACCUUCAACCCCCAUCAGCCCUCAGUCCAGGACUCCCAGCGCCCCCCUUGUUUCCAGACUGUCUGUCCAGAGCAGCUGUGAGAGCCAUGUUCAGGUCCAGGAUCCAGAAGAAGACCAGAGAGAAUCCAGCAGCUCUCAGUGUGUCCGACCUGCUGCAGAUCCUCCUCCAGAGAAAACUAACCGUCCAGGUGAACCACAGGCCCAGAAACCAGCACAGAAGCGGCCCAGAGUCCAGCACCCGGCAGAGACCAGUGGUCUGGAGCCCGUCGUGGCCCCGAGUACCAAACCCUGGCCGGUCUUCACCAUCGCUGGUAAAACCCCAGCAAAGACAGAAAGACCAGGUGCUGAGGUGGACAGCUCGGCGACGUUCCGGAGCUGCAGCAGGCGUCAGGCUCGGACCGUCGUCCAGCAGUGCAGCUCGGCUAAGGUGAAGAUCCGACCGGCUCUGGACGGAGGAGACGCUCAGUGGGCCGAGAACGGAAUCAAACAUCAGGAGGAUUAAUUUCAUCAUUUAACCUGAAAUCUGAACUCUAGUGAAGGAGGAAACAUGAAUAAUAAAAUCCAGGAGGGAAUCGUCGUCUACGUUGUUUUUUCCACGGAGCCACUGAAGACGUCACGUAUCAGAUGGCCAACAGUCUGAUGAACACUAAGUUCUUCCGGAGGGACCGUGGAACGCUCGGUGUCGCUGCUCGACCUCCCAGGCAGCGUUCUCUUCGUCCCCCAGGACUCGCUGCUGGCCGAACCGCCGGUCCGGAGGAGGAUCCGGUUCAGAGGCGGCUGUGAGCUCUGGAGAGCCGCUCAGCUGCUGUCCGGCCUGGUGUCGGCCUGCAGGGAGCUCAUGGCGGCCUCCAACAAAUGCACCGAGGCGGGAGUGAAGGCGGAACAAGGCAUCUACGGACAGAAACAGGAGCUGGUCCUGAAGGCUGAGGAGCCGCUGACGCUGCUGCUGGACUUCUGAGCUUCAGCAGCUUCUUCAGUCUGCAGAACAAACAGGAUGCUUGUUGGGUUCCAGCAUCAAGGUGAACUCAUCGUUAUAAAGUUUCCAUGGAUUUAAGUUUUGGAACAUAAUGAGUUAAAAUCCCAACUUAUUUGCUUUUUAAGUUACAGAUUAUUUUAGCUGCAGUGCUGAGAUUAAAAACUGUAAUCAAUCAUCUCUUAAUACACGUUUGUUGAUGUUCAAUAAAAGCCAGAGAGAUGGAGCAUC